rnacentral:lncRNA from 1 species
GGGGUCCCUAUGGGGUCAGUGGGGCACCGAUUUGGGAUGGGGGUCUCUAUGGGGUUGAGAGGGCACAGAUUUGGGGUCAGGGUCCCUAUGGGAUCUGUAUGAAGCACAGGUUGGGGUGGGGUCUCUAUGGGGUUGGGGGGUAUCUGUGGGGUUGAGGUCCCUAUGGGGUCGGGGGGGUCUCUAUGGGGUCAGUGGGGCACAGAUUUGGGGUCAGGGCUCCCUAUAGGGUCAGGAUCCCUAUGGGGCAUCGCUGAGCUCUUCAUUUCCUCCCCCCUCCCCCCUCUUAUUCCCCCUUAUAGCCACCUUGGACCCCCACGGCCCCCCCCCCUUGGAGGACCCCGACCGACGGCCGCUGUCACCCGAAGUGUCACCUGAAGGGUCACCCGUAGGGCCCCCCACCCUACAACCCACCCGGAAACGCCCCCGCCUCAAUGUGACCCCCCCGGGGGUCCCCAAAACCGUUCCCAGUGUCACCUCCAAGUCCUCCAACAACACCGUAACCCCCCCAGCCUUGAUCCCCGUGGAGGAAUUCGUGGACGAUGAUUGGUUGGAGGACGACUUGGGGGGGGCACGGAAAAGGAGGAGGGGGAGGAGGGGGUGGUUGGACCCCCCCAGGGCGGGGGGAACAGUCAGACGACGGCGGUGUUAUGGGAGGAGGGAGGGGGUGGGGAUGGGGGGACUGGGAGGACCAACAGGCAGACUUGGAGGACCGGCAGAAGGACUUGGGGCACCAGCAGGAGGACUGGGAGAGACAGUGGGAGGACCGACAGGCGGACUAGGAGAGACAAUGGGAGGAGCGGGAGGACCAACAGGCGGACUGGGAGGACCAGAAGAAGGACUGGGAGAGACAGUGGGAGGACUGAGAGGACCAGCAGGCGGACUUGGAGGACCAACAGGCAGACUUGGAGGACCAACAGGCGAACUUGGAGGACCAACGGGCGGACGAGGAUGGGAGAGCCCUGAAAGCAGUGAUGGGAGCAAUGGAAGGGGAGGGGAAGAGAAGCUGCCCCCCGCCCCCCCCUCUGCGCCCCCAAUCCGGGUCAGGGUCCGCAUCCAGGAGCUGCUCUUCCUCAUCCCCGUCCCACACGGGUACAAAUGGGACCCCAAAAGGACCCCAAAGGGACCCCAAAGCGACCCCCACCCCAAAGAGACACCAAAGCGAUCCCACCCCAAAGGGACCGCAUGGGACCCCUUAGGGACCCCAACCCCAAAGGGACCCCAUAGGGACUCUAAAAGACCCCCACCCCAAAAGGACCCAAUGGGGACUCCGUAGGGACUCCAAAGGGACCCCUGCCCCGAAUGGACCCCAAAUAGACCCCAAAGGGACCCCCAACCCAAAGGGACCCCAUAGAGACCCCAAAGAGACCCCCACCCCAAUGAGACCCCCACCCCAAUGAGACCUCAUAAGGACCUCAAAGGGAGUCCCAUCCCAAAGGGACCCAAAAGGGA